rnacentral:lncRNA from 1 species
UAAAAAUCUUAAUUAUUCAAAACUUUUGUGUACAUUUAAGCUGUAUUAAUUCCACACGUCUGUAUCGUUUUAUUAAUUUAUCUAUGCACAAUUAUGUGUUAAAUGGCAUUUUAUUAUUUGCAUUUAAAAUCAUAUUUUCCCUGCUGUCAGGCCUGUGCUCCUCCAUUCGAGAACUGCUGAUAACAAGGACCUAAAAACGUCGGACAGAACAUGAUAUUCUGAUGUGUACAGUCAGAUCGGAGGGUGGUGUGUUUCUGGUAGCGUGGUCUGAUGCAAAAAGCCGUAAAAAAACUCAAUCAAAUGGUGGGAAAGCGUUGUAUUCUAAAAUUACGGGAUAACUCGUCAAUGCGGGAAAGAGUGGGUGGUGUGUUUCUGGAGCUGGCUGAUGCUGUUCACGCAGGAUUCACGAGACUUUAUCUCUCUGGCAGCAGAACUCCAGACUGAAGUUAAUGUGUAACGGCUGUGUGACUGAAAGCAGCUUAUCUCGGCAGCAGAACUCCAGACUGAAGUUAAUGUGUAACGGCUGUGUGACUGAAAGCAGCUUAUCUCAGCUCAGCGCAGGUAUAAAAACACAGCGUUCAGAGUGGAUAUACAGUAUAUGAGCCUCGGUCUUCUUCAGCGCCUGCAGUCUGAGCUCUUCUGAUCAACAUGGGAUCGUGUACAGCGUGGGAGAGUAAGUAACUCACAGUCACUUACAGUCAGCUUCACUGCUGAGUCUCAGUCUACAAAUAAAGCUUGUUUAUCAGCAUUGAUGAUGCUAUUAAGAACCUUUAACAUCUGUGAAUCUUUUAACUG